CAGCCAGAAUUCGAGACGGUACCUGAGCCCAGCCAAUAAUCUCACACACAAACAGGGUAACAUAAUAGAAACAACACUGUGGGAGUCAGUAUUUGGCUGUGAGAACACACCUUUCCACUCUGACAGGAUGUGAGCUGGUGCUGUGCAACACUGGAAAAACCUUGUUAACAGCAGGAGUCUGCAAUGGCAUGGAUGGAAUCAACUACUCUGCUGAAUCCAGGCACUUUGUUGAUGUGUCAAAGUUGAUUAUUUGAGUAUUUGGUGAAUUUUGCAUAAACUUACACAUCAGUUUCCUGUAAAAUUACCACUUUAAGCCAUUUUCUUAAACAGUUAAUUGACAGCAUACAUUAGAAGUGAACAUUUGUCCAGUAUCAGACCCAGCUUUAUUCAAGCCAAACACACCUAUUUUGGGCUGCUGUGGGAACAAGUUCCAUAAAAGCACAGCAGGCACCUGAAUCUGAUUGUGUGGGAGCCCAUCAGUGAACAUCUGGGCACUCCAAGGAACCAAGUUUGUUGGUGGAACAAUCAUCCCUUCAACAACUGACUUCUGGGAGAAUGAUCUGCACCAAAAUGUUGUGCAGACAACAAUAGUGAAAUGCUGACCAGAAAUGAGUAAUAUAAAGAGCAACAUUAGUGACUCCUAUCCUGUUAGAACUAUUCUCAUAGGGGUGGUAUCCAUGCCAAGGAACUUCUCAUUCUCCACAAACAGCUAACAGGGAUGUGCAGGGGAGCAGACGUGCAUCAAAGUUCUGUAAGUGUAAUGUCCUUAUGCUGUAAGAUGUUUGUGUUGCUGUAGCACAGGUAGGUAGUGGUGGUACAUGCACAGCACAUGUACUAGUCAGAUUAUUGCUUUCCUUUCAGAUUUCAAGAACAACUUUCUUCAAGUCCUGCAAUUUCCACAGCAUUAUAGGUAAAUGCAUGACACUUUUCUCCUGCAAAAUCAACCUGAUUUCCUGUCAAGUUCUUGUCUUGCUGCCCAAGAAGAAAUAUCUUUUACUUCUCUCUAUUUUUAUUCAUUUUGGAAAGAUGGAACUAAAGAACUGGGUUUUACAUUUUGCUAUGAUGGCAGAAAAGCUGGCAUCUCACUUUGUCCAAAAUUAGCAUUUUUCCCUACAGUGUGCUAUGUACAACAUAGCUGUCUCUUUUUUUUUUUUUUUUUUUUUUUGUCUUUUGCCUCUUUGAUCUUUUUCUCUCUUUCUCUUAUCCUCUUUUCCUUUCCCAUUUUCCUAUUUUUCCCUUUUACCCCUUUCAGUGACUCUUUAUGUAUUGCUGAUACUACUGUAGAAUUGAUUGUAUAGGUGUGGAAAACUUGUUUGUAUUAUAAAAUUACAAGUUUCUUGCUAAAUAUGUUAACUUUCUUAAAAAAUAAAAUGGUGGUUUUAACUUUGAUAUCUGUGUGUUUCUUUAUGACUGUAAUUGAAUUAUGAACACAGCAGCACAGGGGAAAUAUUUGAAAUAUGCUGAGAGAAGAUGUCAGAGAUCUGAAUCUCUGUCAGAUAAUUUUUCUAUUUAUACAUACAAAAAUAUAUAUUAAAAAUAUACUUUAAAUAAAGUAUUUUGGAUGGGGAUUCUUGAAAGUGAUGCAAAUAUAAGUAGCAUUUGUACUGUGCACAUUCCUGUCAACUUGUGCUGCUGAGUGAUCCAUGAACAGACUUUUAGUCACCUUUUUUUGAAGGUAGGUUUUUGUAACUGAACAGUGAGUUCCUAUUUGCACAUAUUUACAUAUCUGCUAGCUCUUAUUUGGCCUUGAAACUGUACGCAGGGACACUUUGUUCUAUGGCUGGAUGCCAAAUUGCUUUUGGUUUUAAAGAAUUUUAAAAAAAGAUAUUUGAUAAAUUAGGUCAAUAUGCCUGUUACAUAUGGUAUGGCCAUAAUUUUACCAGACACUAAAUUGUAAAAGUAGUGAUGUAAUUAUCAUUUAAGGAUGAUUUUUAUGGUUGUAAUGGCCACAUAUGAGCAGGCAUUGUAGCAUGUUUUCAUACUUUACAUCUUAGAAUGACUUGCUUUUACAGGGAGCUCUCUAGCCUGAUUAAAACUGCCCUUUUUUUUCCUGGGUAUGAAAUCUGCUGUUGGAAGAUGAGCUUUUUUUGAAAGGGCUGGAGCGUGUCUUUCCUGUUUGAGCAUCAGCCAGCACCUCCCACCAAGUCAAGCUCCUCUGACUACUUCUUUGAGUUUGUUUCUUCUUGGACUAGAAAAGUGUUAUUGUGAAUGAAUUCUGAGAUGCUAAUAUGGCUGCUCUAGAGGUGAGUAGGAUUACAGCUACAAUGACAUUUUGUGAUUUUUCUUUCUCUUACAGGGAAAAUACUGUGGUUUGGAAUAUAGCAUGUUUUUCUAAAGCACAAGGCAACGUAGAGCAGCUGUUUGUUCUAUGUGGUUUUUAAUUUUUUUUUUUUUUAAUUUUUGGGUCUUUUUAAAAGUCAUCUUUACCUUCAAGGAUUUGGAUGAUUAUGGCAAGUAUUUUAGCCAGAAGGUAGAACACAGCUCACUAGGGAGACUCCAGCUGGGACUGAAAAAACAACAGUGUUGGUUCCACAUGUUCUUAAGUCAACACAUGAGACCUCUUGACCAGCCAAAAACUACUCAGUCUGUAAAAAAGGAGGCAAUACCUUGCAUUGAGGGCUUAUAAUUCUGUUAUUACAAAUAUAUAUCCAAAUUUCCUAAUUUGGUUAUGCAUAAUGGUUAUUCCAUGAGUGUCUGACCUUCGAAGAAGCUCAGCUCUCAGCUCAAGCACUAUCAUCCCUAGCGAGUUGUUCAGAAUAGAUUGCAAACUGCUUCCAUAGGAAGGAUGAAUGUAAGCCCUAAAUAAUUAUGAGAAUGAUGACUAGGCAAGCCUUUUAGUUAGAUCUUUCCUUAUCUAAAUUGUUUUUCCAAUCAUGAUAAAAAUAUCAAAGUAUGCUAUAAAAAUAUCUGAGCAAAAUAUCGGAGUCUGUUGCAUAGAGGAAGAUAAUUAGCAGAUAGUGUGCAUCUGUUCUUACAGAAUCAAAGAAGGGCAGAUGAGCUGAUGUGGAGCUCUGUGUACUUUAACCUGGACUAUUUUCAGCCCCUUGGUUCUCUUAGAAUUUGUCCACUGCAUUGCAGCUGUCUGCAGAAGGCAGAUCUAUCAAGAAGUCAGUGCUAUUUCCUGUAGCGUGUGUGGGAACAGCUGAUGUCAAUGUAGUUUUCUGGUCAACACAGCUAGAAGAGAUUCAGAGCUCUUAUCUCUCACUAAAAUCUGAUCAAAUAAAUGUUAACCAAAAGUUUUCACCCUUUAAAGAAGUUUGCAUAAGAGAUAUUUUUCAUCUCAAGUCAUCAUUGCUGCAACGGGAACAUGCAGUCUGAAGUGUGUUGUACCUCUUUUGAGCUGUGUUGCUGGUCUCUCAUAAAACCUGUUUCUGUGAAUGUGUGGUGAUGCCUGGAGUCUUUAAUAAAAGGGUUUGUAUUCCAGAUUUUUUGGGAAUGUAUCAUCAGUGUUUGGAGUUUUACCCAUGGAAACAUUCUGCUCUCACCUGUGUGACAGAGUGGCUAAAUAAGAUUUUUACUGUUCGGAAAAAAAUAUUCCCAGUCUUUUUUUGAUGGCUACUCAUGGAUAUCCAAGGUGUGAAGUCAGUCUGCUCCAGUUCCCAUCUGGGCAAGGCAGGGUUUGGUACUUUGUGUUGUCUCAAGGAGAUCCUGUGUCCGUUGACGGUUCCCUAAAUUUGGCAUCAGUGCCUCAGUGUACACAGCAUGAGAUCCUUCUUGCUUGACAGUUCUCAAUCUAUCAGUUUAGCAAUGUUUGACCAUACAGCAUUACAAUUAAGGGAAUAAAUGCAAAAAUAAAUACUAAUUUCUUAAAUUGGUCUGCUUUUUAAAAUAAAUGUUACAAUUUAAUUAAACAUUUGAAUAGAAGUUUUCUUUUGCUGUACCAGCUUUUGAUGAGGAUAUUAUUGGGUGUUAUUUACUGUGUGUCUGCAGCUAAAUGACAUAUUUUUGCAUUUUAAAUUGUUCAAACUAGGGCAAGAAGGCCUUGGGAAGUGUAUGAUCAGAUAGAUAGCUCAGAAAUUUGUUUUGUAAGGGUAGACUUGCUGGCAUAUGGAAUGCACAUGCUUGUGCUUCCAUAAAUCUUGCUAAUGGUUGAAUAUUUCAUCUAGGGGACAGGGUUAUUCAUUCCACAUCUAUUUUUUACCUGUCUGUAUGCUCUGUAUGACUUCUCUGAAAAAUGAUGAUAGUAAAGAAUAAAAAAGUUCUGUAACUUUCCAGGGUAUUUUAAAAGAGAAAAGUUGGUCUAUUGGAGUUUGUGCCUGUCUCAAAUUCUUUUCUCUGGACAUGAAGGUCUCUAAUCUUCCUGAAAGGGAACCCAGCCAGUUCACUUGCUGUGUGCUUGAUGUUGAUUAUUUGAAUUUUCAGGUUAUUAGAGUGAAAUAUAAAAAUUUCUGAGAAUAUCCAUUAUUGCUUAUUAAAGUUCAGUGGACGAAAGAAGGGGAGCAUGACAACCACUUUUUUCUCAUAUAUAAAAGAAGGUAAGGUUAUCAGAGCCUCUUGAGCAAUGAAAAAAGUCUCGCUUUUAAUGUAAAAUUCCACCUAUCCCUAAAUUAUCAGAUUUUUUUCAAAUCUCCACAAAGUCCACAUUCACCCCAAUCAUUUGGCAAUCCCACAAUGUCAGGAUGGGAGCCAGCACCAGCUUUGCAGUUGUUAUCCAUCUGUUACAAACCAGACUUCUUUCAUGUUCCCAUGUUAUUUCAAGACAUGCUGAUUACUUGAAUUUCUUGUGAUUUGUGUCAUAACUCCAGACACGUUAAAUGUCCUGUGAAGUAUGUCCAUACUUAUGACCAGACCAGAAAUUCUUUAUUGGUUAUUUUCCUAAAAGGAUGUCAGCCCACAGAAAAUUGACAAGUAACCCUUAUGGCUAUGAAAGAAGUUGUGAGCUGUUUGGGUUUUUGAUUUUCAUUGCCUUUUUCGGUUUUCUGUCGACACUUACCUUUGUAGUACUAAAUGCGUUUAUGUCUUUGCCUCCAUGCUCUGUUAAGUGGAGUGGUAACAUAUCUCGCUCAGAAAUGUUAUUUCUAGAUUUUUCCUUCCUGCCUUUAAGAGUCUGUGCUGUGGCAUGAAUGGCAGGAGCUGAUGCAGUUACUGUGUCUGCUCUGCCACACUGUGGGCACUGUCCUCGUAACUCCACCUCACCGCUGACGGUUCCGUGCUGAUCCUGAUAUUUGUUUUCUGCGUUCUUGUGUUUGAGUCAUCAAUAAGGGACUGCUCUCCUUUCUAAACCUUCUUUAAUAAAACAUGCAGCAGAGUGUUUGCAAAGCUGGCAGCACAGUGAGACCUUGCACCCUGUGUGCCAGCUGAGGAGCCCUUGGGACUGCUGCCAGUACAAUGGCACUGUUAGAGGCACAGUCUCCAGAGAAAAAUCACCUCUGGGCAGUCACAGGAAGAGCUGGAAAUGUUAAUGAUUUUAAAUGAGCAACAGAAUUAUUUGUCCAAUUAGUAUUUUUAAACCGCUAGUCUGGAAAAAUGGUCAGUUGUCUAUAUCUCCCCCCUGCCAAGGCAAAUAUCUCCUAUUUUUGUAUGAUGCUUUUUGCAUUUUGAACCUAACACUCCUGUUCAUGAGUGGAUCCCAUGUGGUGGUGCCUGGAUGAUUUCUGAACAGCAGAGUUGUUUGCUGGAGGCAGUAGAUGUCCUAUAUUUUGACAUUAAUAAGGUUCCUGAUGUUGUAUUGAAUGACAUUCUUAUAAACAAGGUGGAGAAAUAUGGAUUAGAGAAAACCACAUUUGGAAAAUAAAAUGAGCAUGAUUAUUGAGUUUACAGGAAGGAAACAAUUUUUUUAUCAAGUCCCUCUUCACUGUUUUCAUUUAAUGAUCUGCAGAUUAUGGAACUUUCAAAACAUUUGUGCAGCCUGAAAGGAUAGAGUUAGGUUUUCAUGGUUAUCACUAGAGAGGCAGCUUGAAAAAAAUCAAAUUCUCAAUUUAACAUAUAAUACUGGCAUCUCAGAACUGGGAAAUAACGAGGUGCAGAUGGCAGCCCAGGGCAGGGGUUUGGGAAUCAAAACAAAAUAAAAAGCCCAGCCUUGGGGAGAUGUCGUGGAUUGUGAUUUGACACUGAUUCCUUGGCAGCAAUAAUAAGGCUGACAUUAGGGUCUAUAAAUGGAAGCGCUAUUUGUAAAAUAACUGAUUUUUUCUGUUUGAUCCUGUAGUGGCAAUACAUGGUAGUCAGGCAAUGUCCUUCCAAGGGCUGCACCUCAAGGAGGAUUUGGAUCAGUUGGAGAAUAUCCAAGGCAUAGCAAGUUAACCCAAGUCCUAGAAAACACGGCUUAGAGGAAAGAGUUCUGUAAAGGGGAAUUUAACUAAGAAACAUGUGAGUCUUGUAAUGUACAAAAUGUACUGCAGUGGAAGAAGGUAAUCUGUUCUCUAUCAUUUUGGUUAGGACAAGAAGUGAAGAUCUGAAAUUGCAGCAGUGAAAGUUCAAAGUGGAGGUGGUAGGAAUGGGAAUUAAAAUGAUAACCACAGUGAGAUGCAGGGAUGGAUUUUCCCCCAUUGUGAUCCACACCAGGAGGGCUCUCAAGAUAAGCAGAAAACAAUUGACAGGAACUGUGGAGGUACAGUUGCCCCUAACCUUGCUGAUAAAUGGAUUUUGCAUGAAAGGUGGAUAUGAUGAUGGGUACACCAGCAUGCAAUGAUCACUGUAUAAACAGUUGAUUAAAACCCAAAAGUAAGGCUUGAUAAACAGAUGAAGAACUCAACAUGUCUUACUCAAAGACUGUAUUUGCAUUUUCCUCCUACCAGUCUGAAGCAGAACUAGAAUGAGUGUCUCUGAGUAUAAUCAAGGUCAUAAAGGUGGUUUUGAUUUAUUUUCUAGUAGAAGGUUGUCUACACUUUCUCCCUGUGGCGGUGUACCCUCCCUCUUUAAGUGCAUACAAGCAUCAGCAAAUAACAAGUAUACUGCUGUACAUACUGAGUAGUAUUUGAGUAUGCAUAGAUGUGUUUAUCUUUCAAUAUUUGCAGGCACAGGACAGGUUGAGCUGUAUAAAAGGCUGUGACUUUGUAAAUUUGUCUCAGGUUUUCCUCUGGAAUAGCUAUGGGAAGUAGUUAUCCUCUCUGUUAUCUUGUGUGUGUAAUUUCUGUGCUAUGAAAAUAAUUUAAAAGAGAAUGAGUAAUAGAGGUUUUUGUGGUUGGGUUUUUUCCCUUUUUUUCUGAUAGGGAGAUUAGUAUCCUGCAUCAGUACUGUGUGUGUUUUCUUUGUUUCUGUUGCUUAUAACAGUGCAAGAAAAAACCCAUAAGAAUGUGCAGUGUUAUUUAAAACGUCCUCAGGAACUUCCAGUGGCAUUGCUGGGUUUUGGGCAAUUUCAGUUUGUUAGUAUUCCGGGCUUUUAGGUGCUCAUGAAAUUGGCAGUAUUCUGGGUUGCUCUUUAAGAACAAAUGUAUUUCUGUUAACUUUGCUUUUCUUCCAAUGUUCUGGAAAUUAACGGGGGUUGUUCACCUUCUUUUUAAGUUUCCUCAGAUAUUUCUUAUUAAUAGGAAUCAUUCUUUUGGGUAUUAGGUAUUAGUUCUAGCUAGUCCUAAUACCUAAAAGGAGACCAGUGUGAAGAAGAAGUGGUGAUGAUGUGGUUCCACUUUUCUUUCCAGAGCUGUCUCAGCAAGGGAGGGAAUGGCAUGCUGCAUCAUUUGAAGAUCACGUAUUGCAGCAAGUAUUUCCAAGAAUUUUCAGAUAAAUAUGUUGGAAUUAAUCAAAUCUAGUUUUAAAUACUUCAUGCCCUGUAACUUCUCAUUAUCUGUAGUUUCAAAACUGGAAGUCAUCCUUAUUAACCUAAAAUUAAAAAAAUAAAUAAAAAAAUUCAGCCUUCAGCAGGAAGGGAGAACAAUACAUUUAUUCCAAUAUGGAUAUACCAGGGAGCUCUCCUGACAGCAUGCCUGUGAAAUGUGUGCUGUAUGCUCUGUGCCAUAAAGGGGACAGAGCCUGUUUUCUGUUUUCAGUCAUCAUCACUUCAUGGGUGUUGUAUUCUGCCCUGUUCCUUAGGUAAAGAAGUUCUUUCCUGUGAUUAACCUUAGCAGGUUCCUGCUAUGAUAGGGAAAGGCAGUGAUGGCACAUUUAAAGAGUCAGUUUCAUACUAUUAACAUGCUCUAUCUAAACAGAUUGUAAUAAAAGUAACAAAACAUGUGGAAGCAAAGUCCCACAUGUAUAAAAUAAUGUAUUAUUCAGCUAAGUACUUUUAAAACAAUGUGCAGUGUCAGUGCAAAAUAUUUUUCUUGUAAAAGACAUAAGUCAAAGAGCCGCCUUUGCUGUGUUGUAGCAUAUGCUUGUGCUUGGUAAAAGUAGUGGCAGAAAGCAUGUCAAACGACAGUGCUUAGAGUAUUAAAGUUUUAACAAAAUGUCAGAGAAAACUGGAAGCUGGUUAAUCCACAGAAAUCUGUCAUAAAGAUUGCAUUGUAAGGUGGUUUCAGCAUGAAUUCUAGUGACAUAUGGCAGCUUAAAAUAUAAUCUAAUGAUAUAUCUCUAUCGGUGAGAUGUUUAUGUAACAUGAUUGCAACAGAGAUGUCUUUUCUUGUUAAUUUAUUAGGAUAAUGAAAGUUGCCAUCUUUGUAGAACAAUGCAAAGAACAGGUUUGAUUCAGAAAAAUCUUAGUGUCAGAACCAAAAUUUUUUUUUUCUCUAUAUGUAUAUGAAAAAGAGAAAUUAUGCAUCUAGUUUGAAGCAUGCUGAAGACUGGCAGCCUGCUCUGUGGAAGUCUGUGUUGCUGCUGACUUCUGUUCUGCUCUGGGCAUUAGCACAUGUGCCCAGGAAAAAGAUCUGAUAGAAAUACAAGUGAAACACAAAACUUUGUUGAGAGAAAGCUCUGACAGAAAUAAUUGCAUAUGGGAAUAACCAAGUGAAGGUCUUUUCCAGUGGAACUGGAAUUGAAAAAGCUCUGUCUAUAAUGCUGAAGAAAAAUCCUGAAUUAUUUCUAUGUGCUGCUGUUUAUAAACUAUGGGUUUUAUUACAGUGCUGCUUGGUUUUAUAGAAGUGAAGAAAGAAAUUUUGCAGUGUGGUUCCAGAAUUCAUAUUGGUCCUAAGUUUAAAGUAUUUUUGUGUUAUGGAAGGGUUUUUAAUUAAAAUACUUUUUAAUGGACACAAUUUUUAAUGUGAUGGGCUGUAAUCACUAAUGAACCAUCUGAUUUUGUCAAAAUCCCAUAUUUGACACAGGUAAAAUGUUUUUUCAUAUCCUUUAUGUCAGUGGUGAUACUUACACAUUCUAUUAAUAUUAGUUACAUACUGUGACAGAGAGCAGAAGUCUCUCCACCGUUUUUUCCCACAAGAAGUAAACCUGCCCUCAUUCCUGCUGCUGUUACAGCCGGGGCUGGAAGGGCUCAGCUCUCCACUGUCAUCAGGCAUGCUGGAUUCUGGCUACUUGUAGAGCUGUCCACAUAGAUUCCACCACUUUUUAAAAGUUAUGUUCUUCAUUUGAUAGUUAUUUUAGAUAGGUUAUAGGAGGACUGAGGAAAACCUGUCUGAUACAUUGCUGUGGAAGAGAAUCCUUUUAAAUAAGGAGGAAAGUUAUUACUACAUAUGUAUUCAGAUCACAUUUGUUCUGAGUGAUUUUCUGGUACCUUGAAAGAUGUAUGCAACUGAUUAUUAUAGCUCUUUCACAUAUUCUUCCCUUUCUUUCUCUCUCUUUUUUUUUCUAACGCUCAUGAUUGUGUGAGAUAAAUCAAUGCCCAGUUUUGUAGAUGCUGUAACAGGAAAGCACAGGCCUGCCACAAAAGAUACCCAUGUACACAAUUACUUUUAGCUGUUGAAAUAUUUUCUGUAUCUGAGAGAGCAAUAAGUCUCUGUUGGCUUGUUAUGUGUGCUAGGGAGAGUUGUGUGGGUAAAAUGCCAUGUGAUUGCCUUGCUGUGUCAUAAUGCAAGUGUACAGCACAGUGAAUUAAGGGAACAGAUUUCAACUGGAGGGAUCUCCUGUUGGGCUUUAGAGCCCCCAUGUUUUAUUCUUCAUAUAGUUUAGAGAAGAAAGAUGUUGGAGGAUAUUAGUCCUUUUCAUGUUGUUCAGGUAUGUGCCAGCAGCACACUCCGUGGAUCUGUGAUGCUUUACAAUUCUUUGGACUAUUAAUAUUCACAGCAGAUAUAAAAAUGGCACAGUUCACAGGCAAAUUGAACAUAUUUUUUUCAUGACUGUGGCUUGGCUGUGUCUGCAUAAUUUUUUUUUCCUCUAUAUUAUGAGAACAAUAUUAAAAGCAAUUCCAUCCUUCAGUUCAGGAGAAUGUCUUUGUGUUUUGUGAUUCUUCUAAGCUCUUCUAAAUGCUAAGAGAAAUAAUAAAAAAAAAAGCCUUAGAGUUGCAUUUGCCUGAUGAAUUAGUGUUUAGAUCACCUGAUGACGAUUAUCUAGCUAAAUAAGUUGUUUGGUCUGCCUGGAUUGCCAGUGGGAAGUUGUACAUCCCCUGAAAUCAGGUCACCAAACCUGACUUACAAGGGCAUGUACCCUUCUGAAGGUUAAUUCCAGUUUCUGCAUAUGGGGUCCAGGUGUCUAGUCUGAGUCUCAAGAUCUGCAGUGUGAAUUUAGGGAUGCUAAAUCUCUCUCUAGCCUGAACUGCACUGUUAAAAUCCUCAGAAUUCUCAGUAUGUUAAUUUUGUCCUUUUGCACUAUGAGCAUUUAAUAUAUAUUCUGUUGUGUUUACUCUGCUGGUGAAACUGGAAAUUUCCUGAAAUCCUCAUAUUCUGUGUCUAUGAAAUGUACAUUUUAUAUCCAGGCCACAACUCUAUAAUCUGGACAAUUGAUCAUGGGUCUUAGUACUCGCCCAUGAGUACCUGUCUUUUUAUAUAAAUAUAUUCGAAUCCUAAGAGGCUUUAAUCAUGGUUAUUCAUUCAAAAUGAGAAUGCUUUCAGGUUAGGUAUAAUCAUGAUUUGAAGGACUGUGUGUCUUCAGUCAUCUUCUUUUAUCGCAGGAGAAAAAAACCUCUUAUGUGUUACAAGUAUUUAUAUCUCUAGAUUCUCUCAGAGAAAAUUUCUUAAUUCCAAAGUAAUCUUUGGAAUGAUCAGUCAUCUGGGCCAGAGGAGCUAAUACCAUAAUGUCAGAAGCAAGGCUUAGUGUCUCUGACAUUGUGUGCACUUUUCCCUUGGUUUUUCUUUUCAAUUUCCAGGGUAUCUAAGCACAGCCCAUCACUCAGAACUGUUUCCUACACAUUGAGCAGAGCCCCUGCAAUUCACUCCUGUGUGGCUCAGGGAUUCAAAGCCAACCUGGUGACAUCAUGCCAUACUCAUAUGAAUGGUAUUUCUUUGGCUGUAUUUGUGUUCUGUAGAGAAAACUGGUGACUGAAUGCUGAUGGAUAUGUGAGUACAGUUGUUACAAGAAAAAGGAGCAGGAAAUGUUAAAUAUCUCAGGUGUGUAACCCCGUUCCAAGUAGUGCACACUGACACCAGGCCUGGACACUCCACCUGAUGAAAAUUCCUAUUUAAGGAGUGCUGCUCUAAGGUGUAGAGCAAGGUGCAUGUCUUUUUGUAGGUCAGGUCACUGAUUGUUGUCAUUAAGUUGACGACAAUGUGUAUCUCUUAAAGAAAGCUCAUUUAUGAGAGUUGUAUCCCAGUGAGUAGCUGAUGUGGAAAAGCACCAGACUGGGAAACAGAUUUCUGAUUCUACAUUUACUACUAAUUUGGUUACUUCUCUGACCUGUGCUGACAUUUAUCUGUGCUAUAGUUUCUUUUUAUACUGUAUUAAUGUUUCUCUGGCAAAGCCACUGCAUGAGUUGAAGCUGUUGCAAUCUAGAAUGAUUGUUAGGAGCAUAGAGCAUUAGGAGGAAGCUGCCCAUACAUAGUAAGAGAAGAGAAAUAUAAUACAACUUCUCAUAGAAAACAGUACUACUAUGGGAGAACUGCUUAAGUAAAUUGUAUUUCCAGGUUAGCAGCAAUAAUUGCUGUCAACAUUAUGCCCUUUGCAUGUAAUUACCUCUUUAUUUAAAGCUGGUUUUGUAAAGCUUUUUCUAUUCCACGUGUUUUUUGAUUCAGGCACCUAAUGACUCCCCAAGAGAAAGCACACCGUGCACAGAUUGGCCCCAUUAGUGCAAACUGCAUAAUGAGAUAAUACUAUAGACUGUUGCACAUUAAUUUUCCAAUUAUUUUUUUUGCCUUUCUUACAGAUUCCAAGCAGAAAUUGAUAGCAUUAGGCAGUGUAUGGGAGCACACUAAUCUGAUUUGUCUCUCCCCAAAGAUUACAAGCUAUACGCUGUCUGGCCUGCUUGAAUACAAUUAACAGAUUAUAUUAUAUUUUUGCUACAUUUAUUUAAAAAUAUUUUUUAUCAUAUCAUAACAUUUUAAAAAUAAAUCCAGUAUUAUUUAUGUAUGGAUUUUUAAGAAAAGUAAAUUAUUUCAGGUAAUCAAGAGAUUUUCAAUACCAACAAGAUUUGAAAAAUAGAGCAGGUAUAUUGAAAUCCAGGGGAUUAAAUGCACUCUACCUGAUUGCAUUUAUGUAACAUAUGUAUGAAUUCCUGAUUUUUUUUAUCCUAUUUCUUUGACUUUAAACUUUUUUUUUUUUCUCUUACAAAACAGAGAAUUACUUGGCGUGUAGCUAGUUAAAAGAACGUAAUUUUCAGGAACACUCAAGCCAGCCUUCUUUUAUCUGAAACAUUCAGUGUCUUUUAUUUUUCACUGUAAAGGAAGUUGACUGAUUAAAAUCAAACACUUUGAAUAUUGAGGGAAUUUGCAUGUGAGAAUGGGAUUGCAAAGAGGGAAAAAAAUUCCUGCUUUUGUGUCUCAAUCAAUCUCCACAAGGAUAGAGAAUAUUUUGUCUUUUCUUAUAAAACUGUAGAAUAUCAAGUAUGAGAAUAAAUGUUCGUCACAGGAAACAGACACUCCUUUGAAGAACUAAAAAAGCCACAAAAAACCCCAAACCAGAGAUCAGAACAAGCCCUUGUGCCCAUGUUAUGAAUAGUACCAGAGCUCAAGGAGACAUGAGGAUCUGGAAUAUUUCAGUGAGAAGCCCUCGGGUCAGAGUUUUUAGGAAAACUUUCACAACAGGGUCAUGCUGGUUUGGAUGCUACAGUUAUGUUCUCAUCUUUGCAAGCAGCCAGAGUUUUCAUCUGGUUUGUAGGAUGGAUUUGAAAGGGGUUUGUUGGGAGUUUUUGGGGGUUUUGUUUGGUUUUUUUUUCCUAUUCCUGUAGUGUAAAUCUUGACAGCACAGGUAAGAGGUCAGAACAACUGAGGGCUGAGGAUCUAGAGGAGAUCUGAUGCAGUGUGAGGCUUUCAGUUUGACAUGGGGUUACAACUUUAAAUGAUGAGAUUAUGCUAUUACCUACCUUUUUUACAAAGUAAAAUCUAAAAUUGAUGUGGAAUGUGUGGAACGUAUUUGCUUGAGAUCACUGACACUUAAAUCUGAUUUUGCAAAGAGGCUAAAUUUGAUAUAGCUGCCUUCACUGUGUGAAAGCCACAUAUGUUAAGUCUCCAAGGCAGAGCCUAAAGUAAUAGAAUACUGAUCAGCACUGGUAAAUCAUGAAUCAACCCAGCGUUUAUUGAUUAAAUCUGAUGGGUUUGAUAAAUAUGUGAUGAAUAAAGGCAAAGUCAUGUAUUUAAGCAUAUUCCUUGGACAUUUUUCAAUUUUCUUACUGCUGCCUUGCCCAUUUCAGUUAUAAGCCUUUUCUUAUUAAGGCAAUUCAUUAUUAGGAUGAAGAAGAAACAAUAUUAUGUGAAAAAAUAACAUGUUAAAGUGACUUCUCAGCCUUGCAUAUUGAUCAAAGCUAUCUAAAUGCCAAUUGGGUGGGACUUCUCCAAUCUUGAGUAACAACUAAUCCAUUUUAGUCGUUAUUCCUAGACAGAAAAUAAACAAUAGGAAUUAUUAUUAUAAUUUUCUAUGAAUUGAAAUAGUGGUUUUUUUUUUUUUCGAUUACAUCAUUAGGACAGGGGGAAGGGGUCUGAGGGUGGGGGAACUUCUGAUUUCUUAGUGAUUGCAAAUUUUUCAGUAUAUUCCAGUAGCUCAGUAUAUCCUUAAGGAAAUAAGAGGAAUUUGUAAAUACUCAGUGGGGAAAGAAAAAUUGUAUAUAUAAAGUCAAAAUCCUUUAGAUUGGUCUGUGUUAAAGAUGUGCAGUGUAUAUAAAUACAGAUAUGUGUAUAUAAACUAAUGUGAGGUAGCAUUUUUGUUUAUUCUAAAGCAUCAGUUCCCUAUUUAAAGUACUAGGUGAAUGAUAUAUGUAUAAAUGCAGAAAUCUUUGCUUUAGUUAUUCAAGUUCAUGUACAGAAAAUCAAUGGAAGAGGCGGAAUGUCUGUCUUCAAAAGCUCCAUUAUAAAGUAGAGCCUUGUAUCUAAAUCAAGAGUGAUCUCUGCCUGUAAGUGACUCAGAAGUUUCUUUGUGUUCCCACAGAAACACUUAUUUGCUGUUUAAACUAUUGAGCAGCUGAAGUGAACUGCUGACAGAUUGUUUUAUUAUUUUGCUAUUAUUGCUAGGUAGAGUUAAAAGCAUAGGAAGUUCAUUGUCAGGUAGCAUCAACACCAACCUACUUCAACAAAGACAGAAAGCUUGUAACACAUUACUUAUUUUAAUAAGAAGGAUGAAUUAGAUGAGUGAGAAUUUUCCAGUAAUUUUCAUUUCAUAGUUAUUGAAUAUAAGCAAGAGGAAAGUUAGAGUGUGUUCCUUUCCCCUUGAAGUUACUUUUCACUUUAAAAUAAAAUAAAAGGAUUUCUCUUAUUGAUACAGAUUGCCUGUAUCAGUCUGUAAAGAUCCUUCAGCCGUUACACAGUGAAAUGAGUAAAGGACUCCGAGUCCCAGCCUAAGCUCCAGAGGGAUUUUCCUUUCUUGGCACCUGCCUGUCUUCCUAGCUCUGAGACUCCCAGAGCAGAGUGGGGCAUUGUACACAUUUAAUUUCCAGGUCUGUUACUAACAGUAAACUUAGACUUGUUUUAGUAUCACAGCCCAGUGGUGCAGAAUGAGAGCAUAGGGAAAAAAAUAGCAAUAAUGAUCAGCAUAACAGCAAUUAAAUCUCCUCUGCUGGGAGACAGGGCAAUAAGGAAAGUGGAGAUUCAGACCUAUGCUACAAUUAUUUAUUUAGGGUGCCUUUUAUCUGCCAGAGUUAGAGCAAUUCAGUUUUUAGAACUGAAAUCCCCUUUAAGGUAUCUUAAGUAAUAUUUUAGUCUCUUAAAAUUGUUGAUUCCUACAUAUUGCGUAGAUUUAAAAGCAGUGCUGCUGUAGGAAGAAGCAAAAUACCUGAUUUUAUAGGUGCAGGUUAUAAUUGAUGCUCGGUGCCCACAGAGGAAUUGAGUUAUUUCUUCAAUCAACAGCUCGCAGCCUUUUCAGCAGAUAAUUAAAGUCUCUUGCUGACUGGGAGCUAAGUUAGGGUAACCAAAUGCUCUAGGUGAGAAGUGGGUUGGAAGGAAAUCCACAGUGCACAAACAAAUGGCAAUCACACAGCACAUAUCAUGCCCUGGGGGCUUUCUUGCCAGUGUAAAAGCAACUUUACAAAAAUAAACAUGUUUUCAAAAUAAAUCAGAUAUGUUAAAUCUGAAUAUAUUUAAUAAAACACUUCAGAACAUACAGUAAUUUCUAUUGCUUUGGAUAGUUUGGUGAGAUGGACUUCUGAAGCAUUUUUUCCAUUCAGGAUUGCCAGUAAUUGCUUUUAUUUCAUCUACCCUAAGAUGUAGCACUUAACUUAGAGAACCAAUAAUAUAUAGAUUUAAUUCACAAUUUCCCAAAUCAUAAGGCUUUAUUUUGCUUCCAGUAAAAUUAAUUGAAAGCAAUACCUCGCAUACAUCUUCAUUUUAUGAUGAAAAUUUUUAUUUUCUAAAUUGAAUUAAAAUUCUUAUGUGAGAAUUACAGUAAUCGUGCUCCAUAUUUCUGUUAUUCAAAGGGCAGCCUUGAGGCAAAGAUGAAUUUUAAACUCUCUUUGCUUCGAGGUUUUAAAAAUUAUUUUUUCUCUCAUUAUUUACGUAAUUGUCGAAGCUCAAAGCUUUAAUCUUGAUGCUUUAUUUGACCUGCACUGUAACUACAUGUGAUUUACUAACAGUAGGGUUCAUUAAUGCUGGGUUUCUGAUAUGUAUUCCUUUCCUUUCACCACUAAUAGGAUAGGAUUUUAACUCAUAAUGCUGAUGGAUAUAAUGAACAGCUUAAUCAGUGGCUUCAUCUUUCAUCAGUGAGGUAGUCCAGUGACUUGAUGUUAAUGGUAAUGAAGUUGCUAGUGAACCUAGAGAAAAACAUUAACUGCAGUCAUUAAAGAUAGUAGAAUUGAAUUUGGAUUUUAAUUCACAAUGUUAGUGAAUGUAACAACUUGCCAGAUGUAGAAAAAGCUCUUAUUAGACAAUAUAUCCCUUCUAGAAUUGUAAAUGAAGGGUGUGUUUCCAGGGAUGCUUUGCAGGUGGUUCAAAGCAAAUACCAACACUCCUAAGUAAAAGAAAUACCAGAAAAAUAUAACAGAAAAUGGGGAUGAUUCACUUCAUGGCUUUAGUUAAUUUUUAAGAUUUCUACUGUUGGGAACACUUAAAAAAUUAGUAAUCUAUAUUUCAGGAGAUGUUAAAUUAUCUUUAGGUAAGUAAGUGUCCUCAUUGCUACUUUGAGUAUGCAAAAGGUAAAUAUAAGAAUUUAAGAAAAUCUUAAACUUGGAAAAUAUGAUAGAACUGAGGUUUUUUUGAUUCUGCAUAUGUGGUUGGGCAGGUGCUCUUGAGUAUCCUCCCAGCUGGGGCAUUCUGGGCAAAUCCCAGAGGAAGCCAGUUUCACUCAGUUUGUCCUCUCUGCCAUUCUGACCUUGUUCUCUCACCAAGGCAAGGACCUCAGGCUCACUUGCCAGGUGCUGUGGCCACAACUUUUGUGUCCUGUGGCCACUCACAGCUGCUUGCAGGAAGCUCUGCAGCUUCCUUCAACAGAGGGGAGUAUAAAUAAAUAUUAAUAAAUAAAUACAAAUAAAGUACAAAUAAAUGGGAUUUAAACUGUGUGCAGAAACAGGAAAAUCAGCAUGUCAGUGCUGCAGCAGUAUUGCUUGGGCUGGGUUAGGGUUUUGGGAUGUGUCAGAGGCUGCUGCAGCAGCACUGGGAGCUGAGGAAGCAGCACUUCCCCAGGCUGGGGGAAACAAGGGUCUAAAUGCCCCUGGAGGAACUGUCUAGCAAUGCAAUAUGAAUUAUGACCCAAAUGUUUGUUACCACAUAUUCCUUGUCACUUUACGCUUCAGAACAGGUGUUAGCCACAGUCUUCUGGCAAAAAUUUUAUCUUUGCUAAUUUAAAUUCUGCCCUGCUAAACUCCCCCUGUAAUUUUAAUUGGAUUUUGCAGUCCUCAAUGUAUGCUAUGAAUUGUUGUGUGAGGCUACAUUGUGCUAUUAAAUGGCUGCAUUUAAUUGGUAGUUGGCAUACUCCUUAAUGUAUACUCCUUAACAGAAAUAUGGCAUAUUUUUAAAUAUGUUUUCAGAAAAAAAAAAUUUAACGUAUUCUACUGUUUUAAAUUGAUUGUUUGCUAGUGUGCCAGUAACCUCUUUAACUGUUUGCAUUAUAUUAGUUCCACAUCUUCACCUACCAACCUUCUUCCAAGUGCGGUGAUCCUACAGACAAUGUUAACAAUAUAGAUCUAUCUUCUAUAUUUAAUGGGGCAUCAAAUAGCUGUAAUGGACAGCUCAUGAAUACAUUUGGGUUAGUGAAGAGGGCAAAAGUGCAGCACAGAUUUUAAUUUUUUUUAAAUUGUAAUUGAGCUGGCAGACUGCCUUCUAUGUGUUCAAUUUCAUCCAAAAUCAAAACAAAUAAACCUUGGAAGUAAACUUAGCAUUUAACAUUAUUAGGUCCUUUAGGUGUUCUAUAGAUGCUGAUGUAUUUUGUAAUGGGAUAUUGGAAGGUUUUUUUUGGUGAUUUCAGCCGUGUGUACGGUAAGCUGCCUGGAGAGUUUAGGGUGUGCCCAAGGAGGUGUAGAGGUCGUUCAAACCUCCACAGCUGCAUGUGGUGCAUCCUCUCAGAGAGCUGCUCCUCUCCAUCCUCCUGUUGCUGGCUUGCUGCUGCUCACCAUGGUGACCACAGGAAUUUGGGUGCUCUGCUGGGGACGACCCAUUCUUUGUGGUCACAUGCAUUUCUGUUUAUGGUACUCAUUAGUAUUUAUUGUUACUAAUGGGGAGGCAGUUCCAUCCAAAGGAAGAGUCUAAUGGGCCUCCAGGGAGAGCUGCUCCAGUUCAUCCCUUUCAGGUUUGUCCUUGGCAUGUAUCUGCACUGACAAUUUUUAAACAGCACUGCAUUAUUAUGAGUUUGGAGACCUGGAAGGUUUUUGGUUUCCUUGAAGAAAAAGUAUCCUAUGUUUUCCCCGUUGACUUGGCAACCCUUUUUUGUUUCAAUAGCUCUUGAUACUUUAAAAAGCAAGAAUCAGACACAGUCUGUCUUUCUGUAUCUAUGCUUGGUACAGGGAAGGAAAUGAAAGGAUUUCUUAGCUUCACCAUUCUACACACAAAUUGAUGUUAUUAGAGAUCUUGUGCCCAGGAAAACAUUGGGUUUGCAUACCUUCCAUUUGUCUAACAGCUCCCUGAGAUGUUCCAAGUCAGAGGGGCAGUUAAAAGCCACUUGGGACAGGUCAGUUUUUCGUAUUCCCUCUCCUAACUGGAGACAGAAUGACAUGAUAAGACUCAAAUGAGAGAGGUCACUAUCUUCAACUCAAUGCCUUCUGAAGAUCUUUUGUUUCACAUUUAUUCUUUGCCACACAAGAGGCCUUUCAUUUUAAGCUUUGGAAAAAUUGUUGCUUUAUACCAUCACAGUAAUAAGAUAUUUCCUAAUAAUUACUACAGCACGCACAUACUUGUAACAUAAACAGCUACAGCAAUAAUUUAGUGAUGCAACUUUGGGAGCACCACAGAUAGGACAAUGGUUUGGUAACCAUGCAGGGUGGCUGUUAGAUACCUCCCUCAGGGAUGUGUCCCCGAGCCCUGACAGCUUCCUGGGCACUGAGGAUGCUGCAGAGCAGAAGAGGAAUCCAAUUUUCAUAUUUAUGGUAGCACAGCUCACUGUACUUUCAGUUCCUUGCUUCUGCACUGAAGCAAUGUGUUCCCUACAAGUAGCAACUUUUCUGAUUCAUAAAGCCCACAGACACAUACAGGAUAGCACUUCCAAAGGAAAGACAAUGUUAGAAAAUAAAAAUAUAGAUGUAGAUAAUGGCAUGUGUGAUGCACAUAAUGCUUGGGUUGUAAGGAUAAACUAGGAAUGAAUGUCACUGUGUAAGGCAAAAGGCAGUUUAAAUAAGGAACAGACAGGCACAGGUAUGGAAUACUGUAGGAUUAUUUGAAAAUAAUUACAAUAGUUGCAUUUUUAUUUUGGUGGGAUUUUUUUUUUUGGUAGCUUGGAGGUGAAUUUGACUCAUAACUCCUUCAGAAUGAUUCUGUGCAGUUGUCAGGAAAGUAUAGUGAUUAUGAAGCACUACUUAUAACAUAUUCCAUUGCUGCAUGGUUUGUUAUACAUUAUUGUAUUAUUCAUGUGUUUUUCUCUUCAUUUUUUCUGAAGAAGGGUAUUUAUUUCAAUGGCACGACGUAGGUGCAGUCCACAUGGGACUCUCAGCAAAAAGUUGUAGUUCUUUAACUUUUGUAUUUGAGGCUGAUUUCCUUUUAUGUAUGUUAAAAUAUUAUGCUGGAUUAUUCUUAAUGAACAUUUAUAUGCAGAUAUCCUGUUUUUCCAGCCCAAGGGACAACCUUAUGUAAUGCAUAUUUGCAUAUUGACACAGUUACAAUACUAGAGCUAGAGGAAAACAGAAUAAAAGUCAACAGUGUGUUAAAAUGUGCUUGCAGGGAAAAGUCCCUUUAAGGGUUGGCAUUAUCUUGUCUCAGUCACAUCUACUUCAUUAAAUAGGCAUAGCCUCCAGCAAUGCCUGGAGCUGCAGCUCAGAAGAAAAGUGAGUGUUAGAAAAGUUAGAGACAAUUUUGUGGACUUAUAAACUUCUAAAAUGUGGUAAUGAAACCUAGUAAGUAUCGAGUAUGGUACAUCAAUGCAGAUCAGAGGACAAUAGCAGAUACUGUGUAAAACAGUAUAGAUGACCUAUAGAGAAGGCUUUAAUGCAGCUUUGUGGUACAUAAAAGCCAAAACUUCAGACUUGACUAGGGCAAGUGAACUUUUCUAGUGAAAAAAACUGUGGGAUGAGGUUGCAUCUGCCAUGGAUUUAUAGCAGUAGCUGCAGAACGGUGUGUUUGAGGCUCUCAGGGUUAGUCUCCUGUGCCAGGUAAAUGCAGAGAGCUGAAGUAGCUUUCAUCCUCCUUUGGCCUUGUCCCCAUCUCCUGUUAAAACACUUGCAAUUCCUGCUACCUUGUGCACACCCAUCCAGAGCCAUUAGCAUCUUGUGACCCGCCAAAGAACUUUUCUGUGUAUGCCAUUUCUAAAAGCUGGAGGGAUGGAUGUCAAAUGAAUUUAUUCUGGCCUCUUUCAGCAUCCUCGGAAAGUAAUUGGGAUACUGCCAACAAACCUGUGCUGUCUUUUCUGAUAGAGGUGUCACAACAGAGUUUCCUGCAGGAAAGUCCUCUGAGCCUUGAGGCACACAGCUCCCACUAAAAUAUUUUGAGGAGGCAGCGAUGUGGUUUCCGAUACCAACCAAGCUGUGUGAAGGACAUAGAAAUGUUACAGAACUAUUGCAAUUUUUAGAAAAUAAUGAUGUAGUUCUAACAAUAUCGUGGUCUAUAAUUAAAGUUCCUAUAAACUUCAUUCACAUGGUACUGUAUAAAUAGAUCUCCACAUCAAAGGUAGAUGGAUGUAAUUAUCCUUGAAAAUCUUGUAGAUGACAGAAGACUUAUCCAGAUGGAAAAGAAAAAGUUCCCAAAUCUAUACAUGUGGAUGACUUUAGGAGGAGCAUUAAUUAUAGCUUGCUCAUUACUAAAAUAAAAUUAAUUUCUGCAGGUUCAGUUAAAUGUCCGAACCCAAUCAUUAUUCUACAUAUGUGAAAAUCUGUGGGGGUUUUUACAUUUUACAUUCUAAUGAACAUUUCACUCUUGUCAAUAACAGGUUCUAGCAUGUUCCUCCUGGACGGUCUAUGAGACCAAUGUUCCUAAACCUUCAUAACUAGAUUUUUACCUAAAAGUAGAAGUGGUUUAGAUGCUGUGAUGUCCUUCCAGCAAAGAUGGAAUAAUAUUUCAAAAUAUUACCUCACACUUUAUUGCAGGCUAGCACAUCAUAAUGAAUAAAUUUUUUUCUAAAUUGAAAAAAAAUGGCACAGCCACAAACAGAAGGACUUUCUUCUACAGGUUGCAUUUUUCUCCUUGUGGCCUUGUAUUUUUAAUACAGCUAUGGAAUAAUUAAGCAGAGUGGAGUAUUGAUGCAAUUUUAUAAAUAAGGUUAAGGUUGCCAGAUGUUGUUCAUUUUUCCUCUCUUUUUUUUAAUGUACAUCAGCAUUCAGAAUGUAGGCUGGUAGUGGGUUGCAGGAAACUUAGAACAUAUCUAAGGUAUUAAAAAUUGAGCUUGUGGAGAUGAUGCUUUGCUGAUUCAUUUGUUUGGCUAUACCCCUCAUUUCUAUUUCAAAAAGACCAAUUCUUAAAUCAGACGAGAGAGCAAACAGCAUACACAGUCUUUUCAUGAAGUCUUCUCUGAAAUAAGCAAAUUGUGAAAUUUGUUUGUCUAAUAGAGAACAAUAUUCAGUGGCCUUCAUGAUUUUCAGAUUACAUAUAAUUAUUUUGGACAGCAAUUUUCCUAUGCAUAAAUUAGUUAAUGUAGUCAAAUGAGAUAAGAGUAUAGGAAUCGGCUCAGAUUAUGAAGAUGAAGUACAGGCUGCAGUGAUGAAAUUCAUGGUAGGGUGCAAAUAUAAGUAUUUGGUUUCCCUACAUGAUCCUUGUCCUUACUGAAGGGAGAGAGGAGAAAAUUAUUUGUCAUUUACACCCACUCACUAUGGAUGUACAUUUUACUAUAAAAGUUCUGUUCCUGAAAUAUGGCCUUUGAAAAGUAGAAGGCAGUUUCCAAUAAUUCUUUUCAAAGAGCAGAAACAAUGUUUAGUUUUAUACAAAGAGUUGAGGAUUAAGGCAUUUCCAUCAAUCUUCAAAAAUAUCUUUUCUGAAUACAGUUGAAAAAUUCAGUGUGUGUAUGUGUAUUUGUGCAUCAAAUCACCAAAAAUUGUUCCCUCUGCACCCAUCUUGGCUAUUUAAUAUUAUGCCAAAAGAACACAGUACUUCCUAUUUGAGUCAUUAUUUUUACAUAUCCCUCAUUUAAAAACACAGAGGAGUUUUCAUAUUUGAUUGUGGGGUUGAUGAGAUUAUCUAUGCAAAUUUAUGGACUUUAUAAAAUGAUGCGGUUAAUAUAUGAGAGGCAUCGUUCAUUUACUGACUUGUUCAGUUGAACAUUUUUAGCCAUGUUCAUUACAGUAGGUGCACUUCACUACCAUGCUCUUUAAACUGGAGGGUUUGGGUGUGGCAGAAGGUUCAAGCAGACCUUGAGUAGGCUCUGGGUAUUCUGAGUUCUCUCUUCCAUGUAGAUCUCCCAGUUCAGCUUUCUGGGACAUGUGCUUUGUCUCUGAUUCAGAUUAAAUCUUGUGAACUAGGGUAAACAUUUGUUUUCCUGUAAGCAAUUUCUGAUGCUUGGGUGAUAUUUAAGGUGGUUUUUUUUAUUUAACUUUGACUUUUUAAAAUUUAUUUAAAUGUGGAAGAAAAUAGCUAUGAAUUAUGUAGUAAAAUCUUUGGUCUUUAAACAUAGGAAAUAAUUUCUAUUUUCACUUUGUUGAUAGUUCUGGGAAAAAAAAAGCCUAUUGCCUGCCUAUACCUGAUUGCACUUGUUUUUUGUCAAUGGUUAUUUUCACUUGAGUUCUGUUCAUUUUUUAAUUUAAUGGCAUUGAUAUAGAUCACUUAAGUAUUCAUGUAUUCAUUUUUAUCAUAUUUACAUCAGUUCACAUUUCAAUAGAAAUUUAUUUCUGCCUAAAUGUUGCUUUCCUCAGCAAUGAUUGGUAUCAUCUUCAUGGUUGCAUAUUGCAAUUUCCUAUUGCAUCUUUGAAGAUCUACCACUGCGAGAAGUGAAAGUAAAUUUCUUGUGUUUUGUGUCACUGACAAUAAAAUUGAGAUUUAAAAAAUAUUUCAUUAUAUUGGGUUUCUUAACAUUGAGUUUCAGAGUUUUCUACUAUAGUCUACUUUUAAUUGCAAAUGAAACUAAGCUUCCCACUAUCUUUUAUGUCUAGGACAGAUUUGUUGUGUCUCAUGUAGUUACUUGUGUGUUCCUGAACUCCUUUUUUUCUGUGGUAGGUGUAAUAAGGAAAUAAUAAACUUGACUACACAAGUCUAAUGUAUACUAAUCUGGUUUUUUAAAUUUAAAGAUUAAGGGUUUCUUUCUUCAUAAUUUUAGUAGUUGUGAAUGUGAGAAAUACAUUUAGCUCUAACUUUAUAUUGACAACUGUUGCCACCCAUGUUUUCCUCACAUAUUUGUUUAAUGUCACCCAUGCUACACUGAAAUAACCUUCAAGAUGAUCCAGACUUAAUCAAUGUGCUGACAUAAUGCUGUCAACCUUCUCCUCAGAAAAGGUCAUCUGCUAAAUGAAGUAAGUGGGUUAGGGAAUGCAAACUGUGGCAGAAAUGGGGGAUAGGAUGUUUCUGUGUACUGUAUAAAACAUUAUCUAAAGCUGUUUGUUUGCCUACAGAAAUCAGAUAUGUGGUUUCCACAGCGAUGGAAAUCCAUGGACUUUAUCCAUUUAAAUAAAUAAAACUGAGCCAGAUGUGUUGUACUUCAUUGUGUUCUGGGCUACAUUUAAUGCAUAAACACGGCACUCGGUCUGCAGGACAAAAGGAGGAUGGAAACCAGAAGGAAACAGGUGAAGAGCAUCCUUGUGUGCAGGAGGUGGGAAAGGGCUGUGCUCCAGCGUGCCCAGAGAGUGCCCAGUUCUCCCUGGGCCCAGGAGGAGCUUGGCUCUGAUGUGUGGCACCUCUCUGUGCCCUCAGCCACCCUGACCUUCCUUUCUCCAGGCACUUCUGCUCCACAGACUCUUGUGUCUGCUGCACGAGGAGCUCCUGGGCUUGCAGGAUCUCCACAGUGCUGAACCCAACAACUUUUUAGAUCAUUCAUGCUGGUGGGUGUAACUGAACUUAUAGAGGCAAAAAGAUUGCGAGAAAUUGCCGUGUUCCGGGAGAUAAAAGGUUUUUGAAUAUUAUUGCAUGGAUACAGUUCUCCCUAUCUGAUUCUGAUCUCUCUUUCUUUUCUAGAAAUAUUGUAGCAUGGAAAUAUAUUUAUGAAAGCAUUUUGCAGGAGGUGCUCUAAAGUAUGAAUGAUUUUCAGUGAAAUCAUUAGG